CGGCGAGUGAAGCGGCAAGAGCUCAAAUUUGAAAUCUGGCUCCUUCGGGGCCCGAGUUGUAAUUUGGAGAGGAUGCUUCGGGCGUGGCCCCCGUCUAAGUGCCCUGGAACGGGCCGUCAUAGAGGGUGAGAAUCCCGUCUGGGAUGGGUGGUCAUGCCCGUGUGAAGCUCCUUCGAAGAGUCGAGUUGUUUGGGAAUGCAGCUCUAAGAGGGUGGUAAAUUUCAUCUAAAGCUAAAUAUUGGCUGGAGACCGAUAGCGCACAAGUAGAGUGAUCGAAAGAUGAAAAGCACUUUGAAAAGAGAGUUAAACAGCACGUGAAAUUGUUGAAAGGGAAGCAUUGGCACCCAGACUCGCCCGGGAGGGCUCAGCCGGCACGUGUGCCGGUGCACUCCCCCCCGGGCGGGCCAGCGUCGGUUUGGGCGGUCGGUCAAAGGCCCCGGGAAUGUAGCACCCUCCGGGGUGCCUUAUAGCCCGAGGCGCCAUGCGACCUGCCCGGACCGAGGAACGCGCUUCGGCUCGGACGCUGGCGUAAUGGGUGUCAAUGGCCCGUCUUGAAACACGGACCAAGGAGUCUAACAUCUAUGCGAGUGUUCGGGUGUCAAACCCGUCCGCGCAGUGAAAGCGAACGGAGGUGGGAACCCCCCCGGGGGUGCACCAUCGACCGAUCCUGAUGUCUUCGGAUGGAUUUGAGUAAGAGCAUAGCUGUUGGGACCCGAAAGAUGGUGAACUAUGCCUGAAUAGGGCGAAGCCAGAGGAAACUCUGGUGGAGGCUCGCAGCGGUUCUGACGUGCAAAUCGAUCGUCAAAUUUGGGUAUAGGGGCGAAAGACUAAUCGAACCAUC
rnacentral:rRNA from 1 species